GGGCCCGCACAAGCGGUGGAGCAUGUGGUUUAAUUCGAUGAUACGCGAGGAACCUUACCAGGGCUUAAAUGUAAGUUGCAUUAGUUAGAGAUAGCUAUUUCUUCGGACUACUUACAAGGUGCUGCAUGGUUGUCGUCAGCUCGUGCCGUGAGGUGUCAGGUUAAGUCCUAUAACGAGCGCAACCCCUGUUGUUAGUUGCCAUCGAGUCAUGUCGGAAACUCUAACAAGACUGCCGGUGCAAACCGUGAGGAAGGUGGGGAUGACGUCAAAUCAUCACGGCCCUUACGUCCUGGCUACACACGUAAUACAAUGGUCGGUACAGAGGGCUGCUAACCCGCGAGGGGUGCU
rnacentral:rRNA from 1 species